AUAGAAUCGGCUCCUCAAGGGCAGGUCAGCUCGCUCCCUUACAGAAAGGGGGUGAUGUGCGUGACAAUAUAUGAGGCCAACAUGCAGACGCUUACGUUCGGAUUAUUUAUCGUAGGCUUUCUGAGUGUUAUCAUAGCAAUUGUUGCUAUCGCCAUGAAACGCAGAUAGACCUCCCUUGAGCCUGCAAGCAAAGGAGAGGUCUAUUUUUUGUAACCUUAUGAGCUGUCCCUCUUAACGGGAACACCUAUUGUACACAGGCCGCUUGGUGUUGGCAGCACC
rnacentral:sRNA from 1 species